GGUUAAGCGACUAAGCGUACACGGUGGAUGCCCUGGCAGUCAGAGGCGAUGAAGGACGUGCUAAUCUGCGAUAAGCGUCGGUAAGGUGAUAUGAACCGUUAUAACCGGCGAUUUCCGAAUGGGGAAACCCAGUGUGUUUCGACACACUAUCAUUAACUGAAUCCAUAGGUUAAUGAGGCGAACCGGGGGAACUGAAACAUCUAAGUACCCCGAGGAAAAGAAAUCAACCGAGAUUCCCCCAGUAGCGGCGAGCGAACGGGGAGCAGCCCAGAGCCUGAAUCAGUGUGUGUGUUAGUGGAAGCGUCUGGAAAGGCGCGCGAUACAGGGUGACAGCCCCGUACACAAAAAUGCACAUGCUGUGAGCUCGAUGAGUAGGGCGGGACACGUGGUAUCCUGUCUGAAUAUGGGGGGACCAUCCUCCAAGGCUAAAUACUCCUGACUGACCGAUAGUGAACCAGUACCGUGAGGGAAAGGCGAAAAGAACCCCGGCGAGGGGAGUGAAAAAGAACCUGAAACCGUGUACGUACAAGCAGUGGGAGCACGCUUAGGCGUGUGACUGCGUACCUUUUGUAUAAUGGGUCAGCGACUUAUAUUCUGUAGCAAGGUUAACCGAAUAGGGGAGCCGAAGGGAAACCGAGUCUUAACUGGGCGUUAAGUUGCAGGGUAUAGACCCGAAACCCGGUGAUCUAGCCAUGGGCAGGUUGAAGGUUGGGUAACACUAACUGGAGGACCGAACCGACUAAUGUUGAAAAAUUAGCGGAUGACUUGUGGCUGGGGGUGAAAGGCCAAUCAAACCGGGAGAUAGCUGGUUCUCCCCGAAAGCUAUUUAGGUAGCGCCUCGUGAAUUCAUCUCCGGGGGUAGAGCACUGUUUCGGCAAGGGGGUCAUCCCGACUUACCAACCCGAUGCAAACUGCGAAUACCGGAGAAUGUUAUCACGGGAGACACACGGCGGGUGCUAACGUCCGUCGUGAAGAGGGAAACAACCCAGACCGCCAGCUAAGGUCCCAAAGUCAUGGUUAAGUGGGAAACGAUGUGGGAAGGCCCAGACAGCCAGGAUGUUGGCUUAGAAGCAGCCAUCAUUUAAAGAAAGCGUAAUAGCUCACUGGUCGAGUCGGCCUGCGCGGAAGAUGUAACGGGGCUAAACCAUGCACCGAAGCUGCGGCAGCGACACUAUGUGUUGUUGGGUAGGGGAGCGUUCUGUAAGCCUGUGAAGGUGUACUGUGAGGUAUGCUGGAGGUAUCAGAAGUGCGAAUGCUGACAUAAGUAACGAUAAAGCGGGUGAAAAGCCCGCUCGCCGGAAGACCAAGGGUUCCUGUCCAACGUUAAUCGGGGCAGGGUGAGUCGACCCCUAAGGCGAGGCCGAAAGGCGUAGUCGAUGGGAAACAGGUUAAUAUUCCUGUACUUGGUGUUACUGCGAAGGGGGGACGGAGAAGGCUAUGUUGGCCGGGCGACGGUUGUCCCGGUUUAAGCGUGUAGGCUGGUUUUCCAGGCAAAUCCGGAAAAUCAAGGCUGAGGCGUGAUGACGAGGCACUACGGUGCUGAAGCAACAAAUGCCCUGCUUCCAGGAAAAGCCUCUAAGCAUCAGGUAACAUCAAAUCGUACCCCAAACCGACACAGGUGGUCAGGUAGAGAAUACCAAGGCGCUUGAGAGAACUCGGGUGAAGGAACUAGGCAAAAUGGUGCCGUAACUUCGGGAGAAGGCACGCUGAUAUGUAGGUGAAGUCCCUCGCGGAUGGAGCUGAAAUCAGUCGAAGAUACCAGCUGGCUGCAACUGUUUAUUAAAAACACAGCACUGUGCAAACACGAAAGUGGACGUAUACGGUGUGACGCCUGCCCGGUGCCGGAAGGUUAAUUGAUGGGGUUAGCCGCAAGGCGAAGCUCUUGAUCGAAGCCCCGGUAAACGGCGGCCGUAACUAUAACGGUCCUAAGGUAGCGAAAUUCCUUGUCGGGUAAGUUCCGACCUGCACGAAUGGCGUAAUGAUGGCCAGGCUGUCUCCACCCGAGACUCAGUGAAAUUGAACUCGCUGUGAAGAUGCAGUGUACCCGCGGCAAGACGGAAAGACCCCGUGAACCUUUACUAUAGCUUGACACUGAACAUUGAGCCUUGAUGUGUAGGAUAGGUGGGAGGCUUUGAAGUGUGGACGCCAGUCUGCAUGGAGCCGACCUUGAAAUACCACCCUUUAAUGUUUGAUGUUCUAACGUGGACCCGUGAUCCGGGUUGCGGACAGUGUCUGGUGGGUAGUUUGACUGGGGCGGUCUCCUCCUAAAGAGUAACGGAGGAGCACGAAGGUUGGCUAAUCCUGGUCGGACAUCAGGAGGUUAGUGCAAUGGCAUAAGCCAGCUUGACUGCGAGCGUGACGGCGCGAGCAGGUGCGAAAGCAGGUCAUAGUGAUCCGGUGGUUCUGAAUGGAAGGGCCAUCGCUCAACGGAUAAAAGGUACUCCGGGGAUAACAGGCUGAUACCGCCCAAGAGUUCAUAUCGACGGCGGUGUUUGGCACCUCGAUGUCGGCUCAUCACAUCCUGGGGCUGAAGUAGGUCCCAAGGGUAUGGCUGUUCGCCAUUUAAAGUGGUACGCGAGCUGGGUUUAGAACGUCGUGAGACAGUUCGGUCCCUAUCUGCCGUGGGCGCUGGAGAACUGAGGGGGGCUGCUCCUAGUACGAGAGGACCGGAGUGGACGCAUCACUGGUGUUCGGGUUGUCAUGCCAAUGGCACUGCCCGGUAGCUAAAUGCGGAAGAGAUAAGUGCUGAAAGCAUCUAAGCACGAAACUUGCCCCGAGAUGAGUUCUCCCUGACCCUUUAAGGGUCCUGAAGGAACGUUGAAGACGACGACGUUGAUAGGCCGGGUGUGUAAGCGCAGCGAUGCGUUGAGCUAACCGGUACUAAUGAACCGUGAGGCUUAACCUU
rnacentral:rRNA from 1 species